rnacentral:rRNA from 1 species
AGGACGAACGCUGGCGGCGCGCCUAACACAUGCAAGUCGAGCGAGAACCGGGGGCUUGCCCCUGGGGAAAGCGGCGAACGGGUGCGUAACACGUGAGCAACCUGCCCCAAAGACCGGGACAACCCGAGGAAACUCGGACUAAUACCGGAUGCCCUCACCGGGUCGCAUGGUCUGGUGAGGAAAUGGAUUCCGCUUUGGGAUGGGCUCGCGGUCUAUCAGCUUGUUGGUGGGGUAACGGCCUACCAAGGCGACGACGGAUAGCUGGUCUGAGAGGACGAUCAGCCACACUGGGACUGAGACACGGCCCAGACUCCUACGGGAGGCAGCAGUGGGGAAUCUUGCGCAAUGGGGGAAACCCUGACGCAGCGACGCCGCGUGCGGGAUGAAGGCCUUCGGGUUGUAACCGCUUCAGCAGGGACGAAAUUGACGGUACCUGCAGAAGAAGGCCCGGCCAACUACGUGCCAGCAGCCGC